rnacentral:lncRNA from 1 species
CACGCGUAGCAGCGUCGAGGCGUGGCGAGGGCCCGUGCGGGAGCGCGGGCAGGAGCAUACCCACAGGGGAAAGGAUCUCCAAGACUGUUAAACAACUGGCAGAGGAACAAUGUAGUGUUUUGGGAAAGAGUCGGUUAUUGAUUAUAGACGUCAACGUCCACCUGGAACGGUUCCUUAGCAUCUCAUCUCUUAUGCUUCAGGCAGAGAGUGCUAUCCCUGUGUGUGAAUAGCUGAAUCGUGGGCCGUAGCAAAAUAAAUGUGAAGAGCUGUGAAUGUAGCAGUGAAUGUUAACCUGUUGGAUAUCAUUAACUCCUUGCAUUUGGGCAGCACUCAACCGUUUGUAGAGCGAGCUCACAACAG